GGAAUCAGGGCAGUCGCCCCCAGUUGAUCUGGGGGAGGAAAGUCCGGACACCACAGGAUAAUCCGCCCCGGGAAAGCUGGGGGCAACAUCGGCGCAAGCCGCGUUGACGGAAAGUGUCACAGAAAAAAUACCGCCCGGCGCAAGUCGGGUAAGGGUGAAAAGGCGGGGUAAGAGCCCACCACCUUUUGGGCAACCAAAAGGAAUGACAAACCACGGAUGGUGCAAGGCCGAGCAGGGGGAACGGGUGAUCCGCCCGUCCCGCGCAAGCGGGACACUCCCGGGUUGGAGCCGCAUUGGAUGGGUGGCAACACCCGACCAAAACCCGCCGUGAGGCGGGUUAGAGAAAUGGCUGCCAACUCAUCAGGGAAACUUGGUGAGUCACAGAAUCCGGCUUACGGAUUCCACAG
rnacentral:RNase_P_RNA from 2 species